rnacentral:ncRNA from 1 species
UGAUGUCGUACCUUUUGUAGAAUGGGCCAGCGAGUUAUUGUAUUAAGCAAGGUUAAAUCUUUAAGAGAUGCAGCCAUAGCGAAAGCGAGUCUUAAUAGGGCGAUUAGUUUAAUGCAAUAGACCCGAAACCGGGUGAUCUAUCCAUGACCAGAGUGAAGGUGAAGUAAAAUUCACUGGAGGCUCGAACCGGGUACGGUUUAAAACGUAUCGGAUGAGUUGUGGUUAGGGGUGAAAAGCCAAACGAACUCGGAUAUAGCUGGUUCUCCUCGAAAUAGCUUUAGGGCUAGCCUUUGACGAAAGAUUUUAGGAGGUAGAGCACUGAAUGGUCUAGGGCGGCUUACCGUACCGAAACCUAUCAAACUCCGAAUGCCAAAAAAUCAAGUCAAGGAGUCAGACUUAGAGGGAUAAGCUUCUAAGUCGAAAGGGAAACAGCCCAGACCGACAGCUAAGGUCCCCAAAUCUGGAUUAAGUGGAAAAGGAUGUGAAUCUACUAAGACAACCAGGACGUUGGCUUAGAAGCAGCCAUGCAUUUAAAGAAUGCGUAAUAGCUCACUGGUCAAGUGGGUUUGCGCCGAAAAUGAACGGGGCUAAAAUCCAGUACCGAAGCUUCGGAUUGAUAGAGGAAUUAAAUCUA